rnacentral:rRNA from 1 species
GAUGAACGCUGGCGGCGUGCUUAACACAUGCAAGUCGAACGAAGCACUUUUGUCAGAUCCCUUCGGGGUGAAGACGCUAGUGACUUAGUGGCGGACGGGGGAGUAACACGUGAGCAACCUGCCGAGGAGUGGGGGAUAACGUCUGGAAACGGACGCUAAUACCGCAUACGAAACGGGGAAGGCAUCUUUCUGGUUUGAAAGGAGAAAUCCGCUCUUUGAUGGGCUCGCGCCCGAUUAGGUAGUUGGUAGGGUAAUGGCCUACCAAGCCAACGAUCGGUAGCCGGACUGAGAGGUUGAACGGCCACAUUGGGACUGAGACACGGCCCAGACUCCUACGGGAGGCAGCAGUGGGGGAUAUUGCACAAUGGGGGAAACCCUGAUGCAGCGACGCCGCGUGGGUGAAGACGGUUUUCGGAUUGUAAAGCCCUGUCUUCGGGGACGAACAAAUGACGGUACCCGAGGAGGAAGCCACGGCUAACUACGUGCCAGCCGCCGCCGUAAUAC